ensembl:lncRNA
CAAAAGUAUUACGUAUACCCACAAAUAUAUGAAGCAGCACAACUGUUUUCAACAUUUAUAUAAAUCAGAAAUGUCCCUUAAGCAUCAAAUCAACAUAUCAGUGUCAUAAUUCCUGUAAUAAUGCAAUAGUUUCUGUUCUUUGUUCAGUUCUUGUCCUUGUUUGUUCCUGUGGUUUCCACUGUUUGUCUCUUUGACGAUUAAUGCACCAGUCUCUUUUCCAGUUUGCAAACAUGACAAACUUUCGUCAUAAACAUAACAACUGAAGUGAUUUCUGCAGGAUCGCGUGACACUGGAGACAUGAUGCUAAAAAUUCAGGAAUUACGUACAAUUCAAAAAUCAUUAUUUGCUGUUUUUACUGUUUCUUUUUUGCAGCCCGGUUAAAAUCGUGACAAAUGACACACAGUCUUUUUGCUCUGAGUUUUAACUCAUUUAUUUGUAUGCAUUUUUCAGAAAGCAAGACUUAAUAUCUUAAGCCAUUCUCUAGAGGUGGUGUUUGUGCAAGAAAAGCAAAACGUAAGUGGAAAAGACUUUUUUUUUUGCAGUGUAUCAACUGUCCUUUUUUAACUCAAAGAUAGCAAACUGUUCGUUGUUGUUUCUGUCUCUGCAGAUGCUCGUCAGACUUGUCUCUCCUCUCGCUCGGUUCAGUGCCAGUGCUUUUGUUUUUCCAUCUCUCCAACAGGAGGGUCAUCGGCUGGUCAGGUCCAAAUGAGAAAUAUUUGGCUCGUUCCUCUGGCGGCCGCUCAGAUCCAGCCUUUUACUGUUUCUCCCGCAGCGAACGAUGCCAAAGUGGAUGUUCUCUGAUGGACUGGAGUGCUGUGGAUUAUUGUGAUGUUUUUAUCAGACUCUCAUUCUGACGGCACCCAUUCACUGCAGAGCAACUGAUGCAAUGCUACAUUUCUCCAAAUCUGAUGAAGAAACAAACUCACCCAGAUCUUGGAUGACCUGAGGGUGAGCACAUUUUCAGCACAUUUUCAUUUUAGGCUGUUUGCAUCCUCUAUAAUAUUCGAUUGUUAUGAUUAUGAUGUUUUGAAUCCCAGCCCUACAGUCUCUACAGGAAGUACUUCCCACUUCCUGUCCAGCUCUUCUGCCCUGAUUCUCCGAUGCUUUUGACCCCGAUCAUGUCUGACCUCUGUCUCUGGCUCUCAGAGGAUGUUAUGAAACACAUGAGUCAGUUUUGGGUCUGCUGUGAGAACUACUAAUCACAUCAGUGUGAGCGAGACGGUUAUGCAACUACGCACUGAGUUCUUCUGAAUCUGCCGUGUUUUUGUUUGGAUAGUUGAUAAAUCUCCCCUGAAGGCAGAAAGAUUUAAAGUUUUAGCUCAUAUUUAUUUAAUUAAAUAGAGAGUUACAAAUGCAGUUAAAUACAGAGAUCAUCAUGCUAGUCAUUGCACUUGGCAGUUUCAAUUGAUCCUCUACUAGAUUUUCUGGUAUUUUACAUUUUGUUAAAAACAUUAAAAAACAACAACAACUUUUGUCUGAUUUUCAUGAAAUUUGGUACAGAGGACUUUUAAGGUGUGCCGGUUGAAUAUUAUUAGAAAUGGUUUUAUACAUCAAAUCAUUCCCGUGAAACGCACCGAUGAAUCUGAUGCCAAGUGAAGCCAUGCAAUCAAACCCUUUGACCUAUUUACAUGCAUUUUGUUAGAUGUUAUUGUCAUAAUGCAUAAUUAUGAAUAUUGUUGAUUUGGCCUAAUUAAGUCAGGAAAUAUAUUUUUUUUUACAAAUUUAAAUAUACAUACAUAAUUUUUA